rnacentral:rRNA from 1 species
CUGCGGAGGGAUCAUUGCUGGAACGCGCCCCAGGCGCACCCAGAAACCCUUUGUGAACUUAUACCUUACUGUUGCCUCGGCGCAUGCCGGCCCCCCUGGGGGCCCCUCCUUCUGGAGGAGCAGGCACGCCGGCGGCCAACCUAACUCUUGUUUUUACACUGAAACUCUGAGAAUAAAACAUAAAUGAAUCAAAACUUUCAACAACGGAUCUCUUGGUUCUGGCAUCGAUGAAGAACGCAGCGAAAUGCGAUAAGUAAUGUGAAUUGCAGAAUUCAGUGAAUCAUCGAAUCUUUGAACGCACAUUGCGCCCUCUGGUAUUCCGGAGGGCAUGCCUGUUCGAGCGUCAUUUCAACCCUCAAGCCUGGCUUGGUGAUGGGGCACUGCUUUUACCCAAAAGCAGGCCCUGAAAUUCAGUGGCGAGCUCGCCAGGACCCCGAGCGCAGUAGUUAAACCCUCGCUUUGGAAGGCCCUGGCGGUGCCCUGCCGUUAAACCCCCAACUUCUGAAAAUUUGACCUCGGAUCAGGUAGGAAUACCCGCUGAACUUAAGCAUAUCANUA